rnacentral:rRNA from 1 species
AUCUAUAGCAUACCAUCCUGAACCUGCCCAAUCUCAUCUGAUCUUAGAAGCUCAGAGGAGCAGACCUGAUUAGUACUUGAAUGGGAGAUGUCUGGCGGUUAUGGGGC